rnacentral:rRNA from 1 species
UGGGGAAUCUUGCGCAAUGGCCGAAAGGCUGACGCAGCGACGCCGCGUGUGGGAUGAAGCAUUUCGGUGUGUAAACCACUGUUGCCCGGGACGAACAUCCUCUUUCGAGAGGACUGACGGUACCGGGUGAGGAAGCACCGGCUAACUCCGUGCCAGCAGCCGCGGUAAUACGGAGGGUGCGAGCGUUGUCCGGAAUCACUGGGCGUAAAGGGCGCGUAGGUGGCCCGUGGAAGUCUGCGGUGAAAGCCCGGCGCUCAACGCCGGGUCGGCCGUGGAUACUCUCGGGCUUGAGCUUACUAGAGGCAGAUGGAAUUCCGGGUGUAGCGGUGGAAUGCGUAGAGAUCCGGAAGAACACCGGUGGCGAAGGCGGUCUGCUGGGGUAAUGCUGACACUGAUGCGCGACAGCGUGGGGAGCAAACA